rnacentral:rRNA from 1 species
UACGUAGGCAGCAAGCGUUGUUCGGAGUUACUGGGCGUAAAGGGUGCGUAGGCGGGUAUAUAAGUCAGUGGUGAAAGCUCCGGGCUUAACUUGGAAAUUGCCAUUGAUACUGUAUAUCUUGAAUAUCGUAGAGGUUAGCGGAAUGUUGCAUGUAGCGGUGAAAUGCUUAGAUAUGUUACAGAACACCAAUUGCGAAGGCAGCUAACUAUGCGAUGAUUGACGCUGAGGCACGAAAGCGUGGGGAGCAAACAGG